ACAACAGGUGGAGCCUGCGGUUUAAUCGGACUCAACGCCGGGAAACUCACCAGAUAAGACAGCUGAAUGAUAGUCGGGCUGAAGACUCUACUUGACUAGCUGAGAGGAGGUGCAUGGCCGUCGUCAGUUCGUACUGUGAAGCAUCCUGUUAAGUCAGGCAACGAGCGAGACCCACGCCAACAGUUGCCAGCUCGUCCUCCGGGAUGGUGGGGACACUGUUGGGACCGCCUCUGCUAAAGAGGAGGAAGGAAUGGGCAACGGUAGGUCAGCAUGCCCCGAAUUAUCUGGGCUACACGCGGGCUACAAUGGGUGGGACAAUGGGUAUCGACACCGAAAGGUGAGGGCAAUCUCCUAAACCCAUCCGUAGUUCGGAUUGUGGGCUGCAACUCGCCCACAUGAAGCUGGAAUCUGUAGUAAUCGCGUUUCAACAGAACGCGGUGAAUACCGUCCCUGCUCCUU
rnacentral:rRNA from 1 species